rnacentral:lncRNA from 1 species
GCAACUUUAACCACAAGGUCAUCAGUAAGGAGAGCAAACCUCCGUGAUCGAGUCCCCAGUCCUUUCUCUGAGAGAUCCAGUUCCAAGCCAAGAGCAUGAGUGUAGGUACCAGAGCCAUCAGCUAGGAAUUUCACAUUUUUGUUUUCAGGAUAUGUCUUUGCCCAUGCCUUCAUCACAAACGGGUCGUUAACUGCAUGAGAUUUGCAUAGCAACAAAGAUGAGUCCCAUGGUCUUAGUAAAGUAGACCAAUGGAAAGGUUUCAUUUAAACAAUUAAUUCAAUUCAUUCCAACCAAAUAGGUUUGUGUGAAUGGUUGAAUCCAAGCAUAGUUUGAAGCAUUCAGUGUUCGUCGUGUGCAGACUGUUAAUGCUAAAGAGGUCAUGUUUAAAAGGACAUUUUUAGCCUUUCUUUUUCAGAAGCUUAACUGUUCAACAAAAUGAAUGGUAUUUGAUAUCAAAAUAUUGGCAAAAUACAUUGUUUUUGGAAGUUUAAAACUUCAUGUAUCAUCAAGCUAAGAAAAAAACAUGUAUUCUUUCAACCACGUCCUAUUAAAAAGGAAAAAGAAAAUCUUAGUUUCAGUGUGUUUCAUGAAGCAAGUAAUCUAUCAUGAAAGCAUACAUGCAGAAGAUCAUAAAAGGUCACAUAAGAAUGAAUAGGAAAUUAGAUCAAUUAUAAUUGCUCAAGUAUCAGUAUUGAGCUCCCAACCUUUUAUACGAUUCAGAUCCAUAACCCAAGAUAAUGGUUGCCUGAUUAAUGAAUAUGCAAUCACCUACCAAAACAAAGCAUCAUAUAUUACUUAAUAGUUUGGGAAUUGGGAUCUUCCCAACUCUUUCAACAUUACAGUCUUGAACUUACAUCUCCUUCUGACCCUAUUAACUGCCGAACUUUUAGCAUCUUGCUUGGUGUCUACAAGUAGGAAAGGAGAUGAAUGUUUACAUGUUAUCCCAAUCUCAUUUUUAAAUUAGAAAGGCCACUAGGUUGGUCUAAUAGUUAUUCUGCCUUUUAAAUUAAAGCAUCAUAAUCAUCUGUCAUGUAAGUCUCUUGUCAACAUGAAACAUGUAAUGCAAACAGAUCUGUUUCACGAGGAGAAGAUAAAAUGAAAGUCAAUAAUCACCACUGAUGAGGAGGAUCUCAUCAACGCCCUUGGAUUUCAGCUCCUCAGCGUUUUCAAUGAAGCCCGGCACAUGCUUCAUGCUGCAAGAAAAGAAAAAAAGAAUGGUAAACAUAAAUCUAAUCAGAAAAAGGUAUAAUAAUCCAAAAGCGCUUCAAGAUCGACACCACAGAGGGGUUGCUUUGGUAGAAUGACCACUGUCUUGCAUGUAUUAAGUAAGAACAAUAAACCCUAAAUAAAGGUUGUUUUUGUUGGCAUGGCAAAUCUCGAGAAAUUAGUAUCAAAAUAAACAUAAGAUAUUAAUAAACACUUGUUUCGACAUGGUCUCGAUCUGCUUGUUCAAACAAAAUAAUCCAUCACCAGAAGAAAAUACAGAAAAAUAAAGAAAAAACAGAAGCUUUAAAAUUUAAAUAGUCUAAAAGACCCUUUUCUAAGAGAAAGAGAGAGAUCGGAGCUUCUUUCUACUGGGUGGAUUUGAGGAGAGAGAGAUCGCCUGCAGGUAGGAGUGAAGGCACCGGGGACGCCGAAGAGGAUGACCUUCUUGCCGGCGGCGAGGGCGUGGACAGACACCUGCUGAAGUUGGUCGUUCUCGUCGAAGCACGCCAACGUCCCUUCGGGGAGCGCAUCGCCCACCGCGAUCGGAGCCAUUUCGUUCUUGUC